AGCCAGGCAUUGAUCACACAGGCUAAGAGAUACCACUUAAAUAUGGAAAAACAUAUAACGAUCGUGUUUACGGGAGGUCUUCCUGUUUAUAUGGGAAUUAGGAACAGCAGACUUUUAGAGGAGAGAGAAUUUUGUAGACUGAGUAUAUUAUUUCUACUGACUCAAGACAAUCUAUGCUGAUGAAUCAUUUUGAACAAAUAGAGUUGUCAGAAGAGGGAAGACCAAAACACACGAUGAACAACACUGAUGGAUGCAGUGUGAUCUAGUUACUGCAAGAAGCUGGGACCCAAGAGGUUUUGAUACUUGCUUCAACACAACAUGAAACAAAGCCCUUCAAAAAGAAAAAGAAGAGAGAGGAAAAGAGAGAACACUAAGUUUCUAGGAUGCUGGAGAUUUGUGAUUGGAAUCAGGCUCUGCAUACUGAGUUAUCAUCUGCUCUGCAAAGACAUUUCAUCUUCACUAAAAACUCCAAUCUAGACUUACUACAGUGUCCUAACAAAAUUAUAACUGGAAGUAUAAAAAUUCAGCAAAAGGAUUUUAUUACAACAAAUAAAUUUCUCAAAGAACUUAUUUCUUCAACAGCACACAAAAUGUCUCCAUUUGUUAAUUUUUCAAAACUGUGUAUGAUUUCUAGAUAAUGCAUCAGAAUUACAUCAGAAUUGCAUCAGAAGUACAAUGAAGCCACCAUUAAUAUUUCCCCUUGAAUAUUCCAUGUUCCAAAAAUUACAACACACAGGACAUACAUCAUAACUCACAUCUUGAUCUUUUUGGUAUGCCAAUGAGCUGUGCUGACAGAUUUGACUUGAAUCCAACUCUUUAAAGUCUACCGUGCCUAUUCAUUCUUAUCUGGAUUACUAUUGACCAUGAGACAAAGUUCACCAUUCAGCCUUUUUAGAAACAACCUUUUGAAAGUACAAGAUAUUUUGAGAAGCAAACAGAGAAAAUGAAUGAAGUGGCAUGAAUGGUAAUUGGCAGUGCGUACAUGUUUCAGAGGGUGCUUCAGAGGGAGGAGCAGAGACUACAGUUCUGUUUUGCAAGGACCAUAGUGACCAUGAACCCCACAAAACAACUGGCCAAUGAAUUUCUGGAUACCUGACAAGAUGGAUAGUCUGCUCUGAGUUAACUUCAUGCAAGUGUUUCAUACUGAAUAGGAAAAGCUUGGUCAGCAUGACAUGGAGCUUUACCUGACUAUCUCAGUAGGAAUAGCUGUGGCUUGGUGCAGGCACAGAGCUGGACAAAUAUCCAAAAUAGCUACAAUGUCUUCUGCUCUUUCACUGAACACAAGAUGCUGCUCAGUACAAGUUUCUCUGAUGAUCUGGAAGGGAAGCACAGAUUCAUGCCAAAAAGAAAUCUGCUGACCUGACAGGGACUCUUCUCCCACUUUGUUCUUGUAAGUACACAGGUGAGCAAGUAUUAAAUGUGCAGGAGCUCCAUAAUGUCUCCUCAGGAAUUGUUCUCACUUGUUCUCAUUAAUUAACAAUGCUUCAUUUGGCAAACAUAAUUUCACUCAGGUUAUUGGAAGAUGUGGCUACGUGAUACCUCGUGAACUGGACAAUAAUUCCUAUUAAAUCUACCAGAGGGAAAAAAAAAAAAAAAAAAAAAAAAAAAAAGCACCCCAGAUGAAUCCCUAGGACUCAUAAAAUGAUGAAAAUAUCCCUUCUACUUUUUUAAAUAUUUUUUUAUUUUUUUUAAAUGAUUAAGUUCCAUGUUUUUUCAACUGAUCAUGGUUUUUCAGGCCUGAUACGCAAAGGCUGGAUGUUUGGAACUGGCAAAGGUAUACUGAGUAGACAGUAAGUAACAUUUUUAAGGAGACACACAGUGAUAUAUAGUAGACCUCCAUAUUGCCAUGGUCUACAUACCUGUAUAACAAGCAUCCACUUUUGCAUUAGAAUGCUAAGUAACUCUCUAUGUACAUACUAAAACUGACAACACACUUAUGUGCACUUGGACUAAUCUUGAUAUAUUUAUUUUCUAUAAGAGAGGUGCCCACAUGAUGGAUACUUUAUUUAUAUUUCUAUUGAAGAAAUAUUAUUGCUGCCCUAGGAAGCAUUUGAAAUACAGAAUGCUGGGAAUGUGUGAUGUAGAAAGAGUAGUACCUGUUUGCCCUUUUCUGAAAUUCUUCUUACAGCCACAAUUGUAGAGGCAAGACCCUAAGCUAGCUGGACUUCCUGUUUUAUCAACUAUUGUUACCAUUAUGUACAUAAACAGAAUUAUAUUUUAUGCAGAAGAAACUUUCUCAGAAAAAAAGCAAGUUGCAAAAAUUAAGGAGUCCUAUGGUUAGCACUUAAAUAAAUCCAGCCCUUAUAGGAGGUGCCAUUAGAAUGCUCAGUGCAAAAGUAUCAGUGGUUGUAAUUGGUUACACCAGUAGAGCAAAAUACUAGAAGGGCUUGGAUCUACAGGAUUCAGUUAAACAGCCCUUGUCCUCUCAGGUGUGGACCAUCUCUACUUCUGGCAAGAACUACCCAGGAAUUCAGUGGCUGUCUGCACUGCCCCAUACCCAGUUGGCCCUGGGGCCAACUUGCAAUAUGAGCCAAGGGCUGAAGGGGAUGGCCUUGUCCUCACUUAGUGAGGAUACACAGAAUAGCAGUUGAAAUGAAACACAAAAUGGCAGUUUAUCUGCUGAAAGUGCAGCAAGAAUGGCUGGGGAACAAUCCUUGGUGAUGCCUCAGAAUAAGAUGCUGUUGUAGUUCCUUACUGCAUGUGGUCAGUUUGAAGCAGACCAAACUCUGUUCUAAUAUGACCAUGAACAUUGCUGACUCCUUAAAAACAAUGAUUACAGUGAUCAUGUCUGACAUUUCAGCAGCAUCAGCAGAAUUUGUAAGAAAUACAGUGCUUUUAUUUAAGGGGCAAUUUGUCCCCAAGAGGGACAUAUUUUGCAUUUAGGCAGGGGCUUAUAAAAUAGCAAAUCUAACACCUUUUUUCUGCCUCC